GAUGAACGCUAGCGGCAGGCUUAAUACAUGCAAGUCGAGGGACAGCACAGGUAGCAAUACGGGGUGGUAACCGGCAAACGGGUGCGGAACACGUACACAAGCUUCCUUUAGGUGGGGGAUAGCCCAGAGAAAUUUGGAUUAAUACCCCGUUAUAUAGUGUAAUGGCAUCAUCUGAUUAUUAUAGCUACGGCCAUUUUUGCUGGGUGUGCGGCUGAUUAGAUAGUUGGCGGGGUAACGCCCCACCAAGUCUACGAUCAGUAGCUGAUGUGAGAGCAUGAUCAGCCACGCGGGCACUGAGACACGGGCCCGACUCCUACGGGAGGCAGCAGUAAGGAAUAUUGGUCAAUGGACGCAAGUCUGAACCAGCCAUGCCGCGUGAAGGAUUAAGGUCCUCUGGAUUGUAAACUUCUUUUAAUUGGGACGAAAAAGGGUCUUUCUAGGUCAACUGACGGUACCAGAUGAAUAAGCACCGGCUAACUCCGUGCCAGCCGCCGCCGUAACAC
rnacentral:rRNA from 1 species